rnacentral:rRNA from 1 species
UACGAAGGGGGCAAGCGUUGUUCGGAAUUACUGGGCGUAAAGGGCGCGUAGGCGGCUUAUCAAGUCAGGCGUGAAAUUCCCGGGCUCAACCUGGGGGCUGCGCUUGAUACUGAAGAUCUUGAGUUCGGGAGAGGUGAGUGGAACUGCGAGUGUAGAGGUGAAAUUCGUAGAUAUUCGCAAGAACACCAGUGGCGAAGGCGGCUCACUGGCCCGGUACUGACGCUGAGGCACGAAAGCGUGGGGAGCAAACAGG